rnacentral:rRNA from 1 species
GACAGAGGGUGCAAGCGUUGUUCGGAAUCAUUGGGCGUAAAGGGUGCGUAGGUGGCGUCGUAAGUCGGGUGUGAAAUUUCGGAGCUUAACUCCGAAACUGCAUUCGAUACUGCGGUGCUUGAGGACUGGAGAGGAGACUGGAAUUUACGGUGUAGCAGUGAAAUGCGUAGAGAUCGUAAGGAAGACCAGUGGCGAAGGCGGGUCUCUGGACAGUUCCUGACACUGAGGCACGAAGGCCAGGGGAGCAAACGGG